rnacentral:tRNA from 1 species
UGGUGUAGCUCAACGGUAGAGCACCUGAUUUGUAAUCAGGGGGUUGCGGGUUCAAAUCCCAUCUCC